rnacentral:rRNA from 1 species
AGGACGAACGCUGGCGGCGUGCUUAACACAUGCAAGUCGAGCGGAAAGGCCCUUCGGGGUACUCGAGCGGCGAACGGGUGAGUAACACGUGGGCAACCUGCCCUUAGCUCUGGGAUAGCUCCGGGAAACCGGAAUUAAUACCGGAUAUGACCUAGGCCGACAUCGGCCGUGGUGGAAAGUUUUUCGGCUAGGGAUGGACUCGCGGCCUAUCAGCUAGUUGGUGGGGUAAUGGCCUACCAAGGCGACGACGGGUAGCCGGCCUGAGAGGGCGACCGGCCACACUGGGACUGAGACACGGCCCAGACUCCUACGGGAGGCAGCAGUGGGGAAUCUUGCGCAAUGGGCGAAAGCCUGACGCAGCGACGCCGCGUGGGGAUGAAGGCCUUCGGGUUGUAAACCCCUUUCAGCAGGGACGAAGCGAAAGUGACGGUACCUGCAGAAGAAGCGCCGGCUAACUACGUGCCAGCAGCCGC